AUGUCUAUUGGCAGCUGUGGAUCCUGUGGAUAUGCUCUAAAUCUUUCAUCUUCUAACAGAAGCACAUCUGACGUAGGAUCCUCGUACCAAAAAUCUCUGAAGAAGGGUCUGAUUUCAUUCACUUCUAUUGAUCUCAGCCGUUUUACUCAGGUUGACGAGAUAUCUUGUUUUCCUUUCCUUACCUGGCGUAGCUACCGGCCGAAAACUAAGCUUCUGUGCCGAAAAUGUGGAUCAUCUAUUGGCUAUGGAUACGCAUACAAGGAGCAUGCCCAGUGCCUUCCAAAGAUGUUGGCUCGUUCUCCAUAUCUUCAGUUGAUAUCCCUUGCGGGGCUUAAUGAGCUAUCUGAUUCAGCUCUGUACGAAGUGGGAGUUUCUGGAACAUCUUUGCAGUCCUUCUCAUUGUACUCCUGUUCUGGUAUAACAGAUGAUGGUCUAGCACAAGUGUCAAUCGGAUGUCCUAAUUUGGUUAUAGUGGAACUUUACCGCUGCUUAAAUAUCACAGAUCUUGGUUUGGAAAGUCUUUCCCAGGGCUGUCAUUCUUUGAAGAGUCUUAACCUUGGUUACUGCACAGCCAUUUCAGAUCGAGGGAUUAGUUCAAUCUUUAGGAAUUGCCGAAACAUUUGUGCACUCAUCAUAUCAUAUUGCAGAGGUGUAUCCGGUGUUGGAUUUAGAGGUUGCCCAAGUACACUUUCUUACCUAGAAGCCGAGUCCUGCAUGCUUUCUUCAGAGGGAAUGCUAGACAUAUCGAGUGGUGGUGGACUCCAGUACAUAAAUUUGUAUAAUCUAAGGAGUUCAGCUGGGCUGGAUUGCCUAGGUGGAGUUGGCAGUAUGAAGAAACUCCGAGUUCUGAAUCUGAGGAUGUGCCGCUAUCUUACUGAUGAUUCUGUGGUGGCAAUAGCUAGUGGGUGUCCGUUGAUCGAGGAGUGGAGCCUUGCUGUCUGUCAUGGCGUCCGCUUACCUGGUUGGUCGGCGAUUGGAUUGAACUGCAACAAGCUAAGAAUUCUUCAUGUGAACCGUUGCCGAAACAUAUGUGACCAAGGAUUGCAUGCUCUCAAGGAUGGAUGUGUGCGCCUUGAGGUCCUGCAUAUACAUGGUUGUGGCAAGAUUACAAAUAAUGGCCUGGCACUAUUUAGCAUUGCUAGGCCCAGUGUGAAGCAAAUGGUGGACGAAGCCAUGUCCAUUGGCCCCUCAAUCGAGGAUUUAUUCCGGUUGCAGUGA
rnacentral:rRNA from 1 species